rnacentral:lncRNA from 1 species
UAAAAGUUGACUGCUGGAAAGAUGGAAGAGUGAGAAAGUGAUGAAUGUAGAAAUCAGAAUCAAAUUAAGAACCAGUACUUGAGGAAAAAAACAAUGAAAAUUACCCAAUUAUCAGGGGAUGGCUCCACCUAGAAAUUACAGAUAUGUACCAAUGCACCUAAAGAAACCAGACCGCUCUAACACUUCUUGGAUUUCUGCAAUUUUUUGUGGUAUUUUGAUACACUAACAAAAAAAAAAAAAAUCCCUUCUUAGUAGCCUGACUACCUUAAAUUUUAUUGUUACACAGAUGUGUAGUAAACAAAACUAAAAAAGAAAGACCUUAUCUAUUGCAGUCCUGUUUUACAGAUAACAGCUCUUUGCUCGUAAAGCCUGACCAAGUGAGCAGUUGUCACUGAACCAAGAAGUACAUUAGCAGCUGGAUGAAUGAUUUAUUUUUAACAGAGACUAAAUGCAAGCAUUGGAACUAGGAUAUGUAUCAUAUGACAGGAUUCUGUACAGCAGGAAGAGGGCUGGAGUAAUUAAUCCAGGAGACUCCAUCUGGACUGAGAUAUCUCAAAACCAGACUUGCCUGGCACUCAUUUGGAAGAUGGGAAUCCUCACAUUUUAUUCUAACUAGAAGUAUUGAGCUUUGGUGAUAUAGAACUCUCUAGACCUACAGAAGAGGUAAAACCUCACAGAGAUUAAUUUCUUGCUUUCCUCAAUGCAUUUUAUCCAGGUAAGGAAACAUGGAAAAAAGUGUUGGGCCAGUAUAAACAUGAAAAGGCCUGAGAUUGGUCCAUAGUACAAAUGAGAGAUCAGAGAAAAAAUUACAAUCAUGUCAAUGUUAAUGUUAAGCAUAAAAAAGUUGUUCUAUUACAACAGUAGCUUUGUUUCCUCAGGGAGAACUUUUCCAACAAAGAUAUCUAAUGACACUUGCAUUAAACUGCCGGUGUUGUCCAGUUUUUAUGCUGUUUAGAUGCUGCUGAUCCUUGCGUGGCAUAUGACUGGGUACAGUAUCACUUGUUAAACUGCUGUAUGAAUUAGCCACAAAUGUGUAGGUAGGGACAGAAUGACACUUGUACUUUUUUCAUUACUAUGUCUAAGAAGACUUUGGAAGAAGUCUUUGAUAUUAGUCCCAAUCAUAUGUUGCAUCAUAGUGAAUAUUUAGGAAAAUGACAUUAACAGAAGUAUUGUUUCUGGCUGGCAGAGUUGGAGGCUUCUAAGAAGAACACAUGGUACUGAAUGAGGAAGUUAAAAUUCACUGAAAAUUAAAAUAUAUUUUUAAU